AAUAGAUACCCGGGUAGUCCACGCCGUAAACGAUGAGUGCUAAGUGUUAGAGGGUUUCCGCCCUUUAGUGCUGCAGCAAACGCAUUAAGCACUCCGCCUGGGGAGUACGGCCGCAAGGCUGAAACUCAAAGGAAUUGACGGGGGCCCGCACAAGCGGUGGAGCAUGUGGUUUAAUUCGAAGCAACGCGAAGAACCUUACCAGGUCUUGACAUCUCCUGACAACCCUAGAGAUAGGGCGUUCCCCUUCGGGGGACAGGAUGACAGGUGGUGCAUGGUUGUCGUCAGCUCGUGUCGUGAGAUGUUGGGUUAAGUCCCGCAACGAGCGCAACCCUUGAUCUUAGUUGCCAGCAUUCAGUUGGGCACUCUAAGGUGACUGCCGGUGACAAACCGGAGGAAGGUGGGGAUGACGUCAAAUCAUCAUGCCCCUUAUGACCUGGGCUACACACGUGCUACAAUGGAUGGUACAAAGGGCUGCAAGACCGCGAGGUUAAGCGAAUCCCAUAAAACCAUUCUCAGUUCGGAUUGCAGGCUGA
rnacentral:rRNA from 1 species